GUCCAAGUGCCUUAUAACAUGUCUUUAUAACUGGCUGUGUAAGAAUGAAGAAAAGCUGUCCAUCUUCUGAGAAGGAAGCAGCAUGUGCCAUCCUUCUGUCAGAAAACACCAAAGAAUCAACUUGGACUUAGGCUGAGAAUGUUAGACUCUGCAGGAUAGCUGCAGGCCCAGGAGAGAACCGUGCUGCAGUUCGAGUCUCCAAGUCAUCUGCUGAGGUUCUCUCGUGCUCAGGGGCAGCUAGUGUUUUGUUCUCUUCAGGCUUUCAAUUGAUUGAAGAUGAAGAAAUGAGAAAUCCAGAAACCAAAGACCUUGCUCUUUUGUCAAACAGACUUGGUAGAGCAGAGUUGCAAAAUCAGACCUUUGGGGGCUUGCGUGUUUCUCCUCUUACUCCCUGGUGUAGAAGCCCUGCCUUGAACUUCAGGCUGCCUGGCUUGGAUCCUGAUGCUGCUUUGCUGACACAAUCCAUUCUCCCAGGGAACACCCAGAGUUCCACUCCAGCCCUGGCAACGCUGCAGCAGAGUAGGCCAACUGUACGGAAAGUCUACAUUGGCUCGGAACAAUUGAGGCUGGGAGAGGCUGGUGAUUUCCUGCUUGGUCGUCUUUUAAAACCCAGCCAUCUGAAUCCGAGAGUUGCUUCUUCAGCAAGGCCUCCCCUGACUCCUUCAGAUGUCUAAGCACCACCCCUACUCUUCUGCUGCAGCAUCUCCACUUGCUUUUGUCCUUCAUCUCCCUGAAAUUAUUUGCUUACUCAUCCAUCCAUGUCAGUUGCAAAAGCAUGACUUCCUCUAGUCCAAAGGCCAUUCAUGUUCAAUAUGUUAGCACUCGGAGCGUCUCCAGUGGUUGUUUCAAACAAGGCAAAUGAGUUCAGUUGAACUUUAUAUGUUCUGCCCUCCGACUGUGACUGUUAUUUACUUCCCUCCAAACAAAAUGUAAUAAUAAAAUGACUAACUGAACACUGCCCUUUA
rnacentral:lncRNA from 1 species